AUUGAACGCUGGCGGCAUGCCUUACACAUGCAAGUCGAACGGUAACAGGUCUUCGGAUGCUGACGAGUGGCGAACGGGUGAGUAAUGCAUCGGAACGUGCCCAGUAGUGGGGGAUAGCCCGGCGAAAGCCGGAUUAAUACCGCAUACGACCUGAGGGCGAAAGGGGGGGAUCGCAAGACCUCUCGCUAUUGGAGCGGCCGAUGUUAGAUUAGCUAGUUGGUGGGGUAAAGGCCUACCAAGGCAACGAUCUGUAGUUGGUCUGAGAGGACGACCAGCCACACAGGGACUGCGACACGGCCCAGACUCCUACGGGAGUCAGCAGUGGGGAAUUUUGGACAAUGGGCGCAAUCCUGAGCCAGCAAUGCCGCGUGCAGGAAGAAGGCCUUCGGUUUGUAAACUGCUUUUGUCAGGGAAGAAAUCUUCUGGGUUAAUACCUCGGGAGGAUGACGGUACCUGAAGAAUAAGCACCGGCUAACUACGUGCCAGCCGCCGCAGUAAUAC
rnacentral:rRNA from 1 species